UCACAAUAUCAAGCUUGGCUUGUUGUUGGGCCCUUUUGUCACCUGGUGACAGGUCCAAAAGACAAUAACCGGUGUCAUACAGACUCUAUAUGCAACGAGCUUAUCACAGCACGCAUCUGGUGGUCGUGUGGCCUGGUUUUCACUUUGAUAAACAUAUAUUUCUCAA
rnacentral:misc_RNA from 1 species